UAUUGUUACAGUUGAAGAUUGGGAUAGUUUCCAAGCCAUCCUGGAUCAUACCUAUAAGAUGCACAUUAAAUCUGAAGCUUCAUUGCAUCCUGUUUUAAUGUCUGAAGCACCAUGGAACAUUAGAGCAAAGCGUGAAAAACUGACAGAAUUAAUGUUCGAACAUUACAACAUCCCUGCAUUCUUCCUGUGCAAAACUGCGGUACUAACAGCCUUUGCGAAUGGCAG